rnacentral:rRNA from 1 species
UACAGAGGGGGCAAGCGUUGUUCGGAAUUACUGGGCGUAAAGGGCGCGUAGGCGGCCUGCUAAGUCGAACGUGAAAUCCCCAGGCUCAACCUGGGAACUGCGUCCGAUACUGGAUGGCUUGAAUCCGGGAGAGGGAUGCAGAAUUCCAGGUGUAGCGGUGAAAUGCGUAGAUAUCUGGAGGAAUACCGGUGGCGAAGGCGGCAUCCUGGACCGGCAUUGACGCUGAGGAGCGAAAGCCAGGGGAGCAAACAGG